rnacentral:rRNA from 1 species
GACGAACGCUGGCGGCGUGCUUAACACAUGCGAGUCGAACGGAAAGGCCCUGCUUUUGUGGGGUGCUCGAGUGGCGAACGGGUGAGUAACACGUGAGUAACCUGCCCUUGACUUUGGGAUAACUUCAGGAAACUGGGGCUAAUACCGGAUAGGAGCUCCUGCUGCAUGGUGGGGGUUGGAAAGUUUCGGCGGUUGGGGAUGGACUCGCGGCUUAUCAGCUUGUUGGUGGGGUAGUGGCUUACCAAGGCUUUGACGGGUAGCCGGCCUGAGAGGGUGACCGGCCACAUUGGGACUGGGAUACGGCCCAGACGCCUACGGGAGGCAGCAGUGGGGAAUAUUGCACAAUGGGCGGAAGCCUGAUGCAGCAACGCCGCGUGCGGGAUGACGGCCUUCGGGUUGUAAACCGCUUUCGCCUGUGACGAAGCGUGAGUGACGGUAAUGGGGAAAGAAGCACCGGCUAACUACGU